rnacentral:rRNA from 1 species
CCCUUAGAUGUUCUGGGCCGCACGCGCGCUACACUGACGAAGUCAGCGAGCAUCUCCUACGCCGAAAGGUGCGGGGAAUCUUGUGAAACUUUGUCGUGCUGGGGAUUGAUUUUUGAAAUUCUUGAUCAUAAACGAGGAAUUCCUAGUAAGCGCAAGUCAGCAGCUUGCGUUGAUUACGUCCCCGCCCUUUGUACACACCGCCCGUCGCUACUACCGAUUGAAUGGUUUAGUGAGAUGUUUGGACCGGAACUCUCUUGCUCAGCAAUGGGCGAGAGAGAGUCUGGGAAGUCCCUCUAACUGUAUCAUUUAGAGGAAGUAAAAGUCGUAACA